ACCCCCAGGGAGGUGCCGGGCUGUGAAUGUCAGUCGGUCAUCUCCAGGGACAGGAAAGGCCCAUUAUCUGGAGGUGGAGGACCCAGUCCACCGGGGCAGGGGUGGGAGAAAUGCUGGCUCCGCCCACCUGGCCUGUUUUCACGUCGUCCCUGAGAAAACAGCCUGGAAAACCCGAGACACUGACCCUGGAGGAGCCCUGGUUGACGGACCUGAGGUCGUUCCCAGCUUCUCUCGAUGACACCCGGUGCCAGAGUGAACAGCUUUGCUCUCUCUUCUGCACCCUCCUGGUGAUUUCUGGAGCAUAGAAGCUUCCUUAGGAGGAUCGCUGGGUCCAAGGAAACCCAAUGCCCAUUGGCAGAGCCUGCCAUUCCCCCUUCUCCAGCCUGUGGAACCACCGACCUAAUCUCCAGGGACCUGCCUCUCCUGAACAUGUGAUGCCCGUAGGACGUGUGGUCUGUGACUGUCUUCUUUCCCUCAGCACAGCGCUGUGGCUGUGUUGGUGCUUCGUUCCUUUGCUGGCUGUGUAAUGUUCCAUCGCGUGGCAACACCGCAUUCGGUUUGUCCCUUCGUGCGGGGACAGGCAUGUGGGCUGUUUCCAUUUUUUGUCUGUGACGAAGAAUACCGUCCUGAGCACUCCUGUUCAAGUCUCUGUGUGGACAAAAGUUUUCAUUUUUCUUGGGUCUAUAUUUAGGUGGGGAAUUACUGGGUCAUCUGGUAACUAGUUCACAGUCUGAGGAACUGUUUAAUUGUUUCCAACAUGGUUGAAUCACUUUCCAUGCCCACCAGCCACGUGCCAGGGUUGCGAUGCCUCCACACCCCUGCCGACACUUGUUACUGUGUGUCUUUUCAAUUACAGCGAUCCUGGUGGGUGUGGACUGCUAUUUCAUCAUGGGGUUGAUUUUGAUUUCCCCACCCACUAAUCACGUCGAUCUUUUUUUCAUGUGCUUAUUACCCAUUUCUAUA